rnacentral:rRNA from 1 species
GUGUCAGCAGCCGCGGUAAUACGGAGGGUGCAAGCGUUAAUCGGAAUUACUGGGCGUAAAGCGUGUGUAGGUGGUUCGUUAAGUCGGAUGUGAAAGCCCCGGGCUCAACCUGGGAACUGCAUUCGAUACUGACGGACUAGAGUUUAGCAGAGGAAAGCGGAAUUCCGGGUGUAGCGGUGAAAUGCGUAGAUAUCCGGAGGAACACCAGUGGCGAAGGCGGCUUUCUGGGUUAAAACUGACACUGAGGCACGAAAGCGUGGGUAGCAAACAGGAUUAGAUACCCUGGUAGUCCACGCCCUAAACGAUGUCGACUGGCUGUCGGGUUCAUUUGGAACUUGGUAGCGAAGCUAACGCGUUAAGUCGACCGCCUGGGGAGUACGGCCGCAAGGUUGAAACUUAAAUGAAUUGACGGGG